rnacentral:tRNA from 1 species
UCUAAAAUGGCAGAUUAAUGCAAUAGGUUUAGGACCUAUGAAUGGGAAUGUUGUUCUCUUUUAGAA